rnacentral:rRNA from 1 species
CCCUUAGAUGUUCUGGGCUGCACGCGCGCUACACUGACGCACGCAACAGGUGCCUGCUCCGAGAGGACUGGGUAAUCAUUUGAGUGUGCGUCGUGAUGGGGAUAGAAUAUUGUAAUUAUUACUCUUCAACGAGGAAUUCCUAGUAAGCGCCAGUCAGCAGCUUGCGCUGAUUACGUCCCUGCCCUUUGUACACACCGCCCGUCGCUCCUACCGAUGGGUGAUCCGGUGAAUGAUUCGGACUUCAGCGGCUCCCCUGGGGUGCGCCGGAGGAAGUUUUGUGAACCUUAUCACUUGGAGGAAGGAGAAGUCGUAACA